UACGGAGGGGGCUAGCGUUGUUCGGAAUUACUGGGCGUAAAGCGCGCGUAGGCGGACCUGCAAGUCGGGGGUGAAAGCCCGAGGCUCAACCUCGGAACUGCCUUCGAUACUGCGGGUCUCGAGUCCGGGAGAGGUGAGUGGGAUUCCUAGUGUAGAGGUGAAAUUCGUAGAUAUUAGGAAGAACACCAGUGGCGAAGGCGGCUCUCUGGCCCGGUUCUGACGCUGAGGCGCGAAAGCGUGGGGAGCAAACAGG
rnacentral:rRNA from 1 species